rnacentral:rRNA from 1 species
CCAUGUGAACGUUACCAAACUGUUGCCUCGGCGGGAUCUCUGCCCCGGGUGCGUCGCAGCCCCGGACCAAGGCGCCCGCCGGAGGACCAACCAAAACUCUUAUUGUAUACCCCCUCGCGGGUUUUUUUAUAAUCUGAGCCUUCUCGGCGCCUCUCGUAGGCGUUUCGAAAAUGAAUCAAAACUUUCAACAACGGAUCUCUUGGUUCUGGCAUCGAUGAAGAACGCAGCGAAAUGCGAUAAGUAAUGUGAAUUGCAGAAUUCAGUGAAUCAUCGAAUCUUUGAACGCACAUUGCGCCCGCCAGUAUUCUGGCGGGCAUGCCUGUCCGAGCGUCAUUUCAACCCUCGAACCCCUCCGGGGGGUCGGCGUUGGGGAUCGGCCCUGCCUUGGCGGUGGCCGUCUCCGAAAUACAGUGGCGGUCUCGCCGCAGCCUCUCCUGCGCAGUAGUUUGCACACUCGCAUCGGGAGCGCGGCGCGUCCACAGCCGUUAAACACCCAACUUCUGAAAUGUUGACCUCGGAUCAGGUAGGAAUACCCGCUGAACUUAAGCAUAUCAAUCA